rnacentral:rRNA from 1 species
GGCGUAGGCGAUGGAUAACAGGUUGAUAUUCCUGUACCACCUAUAAUCGUUUUAAUCGAUGGGGGGACGCAGUAGGAUAGGCGAAGCGUGCGAUUGGAUUGCACGUCUAAGCAGUAAGGCUGAGUAUUAGGCAAAUCCGGUACUCGUUAAGGCUGAGCUGUGAUGGGGAGAAGACAUUGUGUCUUCGAGUCGUUGAUUUCACACUGCCGAGAAAAGCCUCUAGAUAGAAAAUAGGUGCCCGUACCGCAAACCGACACAGGUAGUCAAGAUGAGAAUUCUAAGGUGAGCGAGCGAACUCUCGUUAAGGAACUCGGCAAAAUGACCCCGUAACUUCGGGAGAAGGGGUGCUCUUUAGGGU